CCUACGGGUGGGCAGCAGUGGGGAAUAUUGCACAAUGGGGGAAACCCUGAUGCAGCGACGCCGCGUGAGUGAAGAAGUAUUUCGGUAUGUAAAGCUCUAUCAGCAGGGAAGAAAAUGACGGUACCUGAUUAAGAAGCCCCGGCUAACUACGUGCCAGCAGCCGCGGUAAUACGUAGGGGGCAAGCGUUAUCGGGAUUUACUGGGUGAAAGGGGAGGGUAGACGGGAGGAAAAGUCUGGGGUGAAAUGCCGGGGCUAAACCCCGGAACUGCUUUGGAAACUGUGCAGCUAGAGUGCAGGAGAGGUAGGAGGAAUGCCUAGUGUAGCGGUGAAAUGCAUAGAUAUUAGGAGGAACACCAAUGGCGAAGGCAGCUUACUGGACUGUAACUGACGUUGAGGCACGAAAGCGUGGGGAGCAAACAGGAUUAGAUACCCCAGUAGUC
rnacentral:rRNA from 1 species